AAUCUACAAUACCUCCUUCGGUACCAUGCCUCCAUUUUUUUUCAUCCAUUGGAUGAAAAUGAUUAAAUCUCAGCCAUCCAAAAUGAAAAAAAAAAAAAAAAUUCAAAAAAAAAUUUUCUCGGGUACCUUCCCCUCCGGUUCCCCCCAUCUCUCCUCCUUUUCCCCUUUUUCCUCCCUAAUUUGCUGUCUUGCUCUCUUCCCAAGCCAACUUCCUCAGCUCACCCGUUUCCCGCCCCUCCAUAGCUGGGUGUCUCGCGCAUCCUCCAUAGCCGACUUCCUCAGCUCACCCAUUUGCCGACUUCCUCAUCUUUGUUUGCCGACUUCCUCCAUAGCUCACCCAUUUCCCGCUGUCAUCUUUGUUUUCUCUCCCUUUUCCCGUUUUUCUCUCCAGUGAUUGUCCACAGCUGGGUGAAGACCACGGUCGGCUUCAACCGGGCCAACCUCUUCGAGGCCGACGUCGCAGACCUUAUCAAAGACGUCUCCACAGCUAGGUGGAGACCACCUUCGCCGUCAGCCGGGAUCAAAGACGUCUUCACAGGUGGGUGGAGACCACCAUUGCCGUGAACCGGGCCAACCUCCUCCAAGUCGACGUCUUGACCUCAUCAAAGAAGUCUCCCUCAAGGAGCGCGAGCUCAGGAUUGUGGGCGAGGUCGGUGCCAAGAUCCGAGUCUUAGACUUCAUUUCUCCUGAUGUCCAGGUCAGCUAUUUUUUCUGCUAGAUUCUUCUUCUCGAAGAUUUUAUGUAAAUUUUCUGAAUUUUUGCUUUCUCUCCCCCCUACCCCUGCAUUUUUUCACAAGGAGAAUUUCUGUUCUUUCACACGGAGAAUUUUAGUGGAAUCUUCAUAACCCAUGUGUUUUCUUCAUAUUUUAUAUUUUGUUUAAGAGGUGUAAGGGGGUGUUUUCAGGUUCUAAAUUUAAUGGUUUAAAAACCCGAAUUGAAGACGUAGCUGGAAGAAGAAGAAGAGGACGUGUAGUACUAAGGAAAAGAAAGCUGAGAAGGACACAAUUGUUUGUUACUCAAAAGGCGCUUGUAUCCUAAUUAUUUGGCGAGUUCUAUAUAAAGGGAAAAAAAUGAGCGAAUGCGAUGGUCUUGAAGUUAUUAGAAAUCCAAAGAGGCCUAUCGGCGCUUGGAUACAUUACUAUAACGAUCAAUUAGCCAUGAUGAAAGAGAAGGA